rnacentral:ncRNA from 1 species
UAGACUCAUGCAUGGAGAGUGGGACAGAAAUGAUAUUUUUACAAAAUUAAUUUCGUUUACCCCAACUCGCAUUGCCUGUAGAAUUUCUUUACGAAAUUCUCUAUGUUUGGGCCCCGUCCCCAACUCUCAUUGCCUGUUGAAUUUCUUUACGAAAUUCUCUGUGUUGAUGUCCCGCCAACUUCCACAUUAUUGAAAUCUGAUUUUCCGUCAGCUUUU